GGAUGAGCCCGCGGCCUAUCAGCUUGUUGGUGGGGUAAUGGCCUACCAAGGCGGCGACGGGUAGCCGGCCUGAGAGGGUGUACGGCCACAUUGGGACUGAGAUACGGCCCAGACUCCUACGGGAGGCAGCAGUGGGGAAUAUUGCACAAUGGGCGCAAGCCUGAUGCAGCGACGCCGCGUGGGGGAUGAAGGCCUUCGGGUUGUAAACUCCUUUCGCUAGGGACGAAGCUUUGUUGUGACGGUACCUAGAUAAGAAGCACCGGCUAACUACGUGCCAGCAGCCGCGGUAAUACGUAGGGUGCGAGCGUUGUCCGGAAUUACUGGGCGUAAAGGGCUCGUAGGUGGUUUGUCGCGUCGUCUGUGAAAUUCUGGGGCUUAACUCCGGGCGUGCAGGCGAUACGGGCAUAACUUGAGUGCUGUAGGGGUAACUGGAGUUCCUGGUGUAGCGAUGAAAUGCGC
rnacentral:rRNA from 1 species